AAAAAUGAUAGAAAGAUAAAAAGAUAAAAACCAGGCUUAGAGUAUUGCUCUGAUACCAAAUGAUGCGAUCCUCCCAGGAAUCGGCACUCUAAGGUGGUUUAGUGGAUAAUCCUUGACUCCAAACACUUUUACGGAGAAUAUGCUAAGGCGUGAGAAGUGAUUCCCGAAAAUCCUUAGGCCCAAACUCGCGGUGAAAAGGAAUGAAACAAGGGGUGGAACAAAGAAAGAGAAAAACGCCGGUAAAAAGAUGUUAAGGCAUGAGAAAUGAAUUCCCAAAAAUCCCUAAGCC
rnacentral:lncRNA from 1 species